rnacentral:rRNA from 1 species
GACGAACGCUGGCGGCGCGCUUAACACAUGCAAGUCGAACGGAAAGGCCCUGCUUUUGUGGGGUGCUCGAGUGGCGAACGGGUGAGUAACACGUGAGUAACCUGCCCUUGACUUUGGGAUAACUUCAGGAAACUGGGGCUAAUACCGGAUAGGAGCUCCUGCUGCAUGGUGGGGGUUGGAAAGUUUCGGCGGUUGGGGAUGGACUCGCGGCUUAUCAGCUUGUUGGUGGGGUAGUGGCUUACCAAGGCUUUGACGGGUAGCCGGCCUGAGAGGGUGACCGGCCACAUUGGGACUGAGAUACAGCCCAGACUCCUACGGGAGGCAGCAGUGGGGAAUAUUGCACAAUGGGCGGAAGCCUGAUGCAGCAACGCCGCGUGCGGGAUGACGGCCUUCGGGUUGUAAACCGCUUUCGCCUGUGACGAAGCGUGAGUGACGGUAAUGGGUAAAGAAGCACCGGCUAACUACGUG